GCUCAGAGUGAACGCUGGCGGUAGGCCUAACACAUGCAAGUCGAACGGCAGCACAGGAGAGCUUGCUCUCUGGGUGGCGAGUGGCGGACGGGUGAGGAAUACAUCGGAAUCUACCUUUUCGUGGGGGAUAACGUAGGGAAACUUACGCUAAUACCGCAUACGACCUACGGGUGAAAGUGGGGGACCGCAAGGCCUCACGCGAUUAGAUGAGCCGAUGUCCGAUUAGCUAGUUGGCGGGGUAAUGGCCCACCAAGGCGACGAUCGGUAGCUGGUCUGAGAGGAUGAUCAGCCACACUGGAACUGAGACACGGUCCAGACUCCUACGGGAGGCAGCAGUGGGGAAUAUUGGACAAUGGGCGCAAGCCUGAUCCAGCCAUACCGCGUGGGUGAAGAAGGCCUUCGGGUUGUAAAGCCCUUUUGUUGGGAAAGAAAUCCUAUCGGUUAAUAACCGGUGGGGA
rnacentral:rRNA from 1 species